AGAUAAGUGCUGAAAGCAUCUAAGCACGAAACUUGCCCCGAGAUGAGUUCUCCCUGACUCCUUGAGAGUCCUGAAGGAACGUUGAAGACGACGACGUUGAUAGGCCGGGUGUGUAAGCGAAGCGAUGCGUUGAGCUAACCGGUACUAAUGAACCGUGAGGCUUAACCUU
rnacentral:rRNA from 1 species